CAGUCGCCGCGGGAAUACGAAGGGUGCAAGCGUUAAUCGGAAUUACUGGGCGUAAAGCGUGCGCAGGCGGUUUGUUAAGACAGAUGUGAAAUCCCCGGGCUCAACCUGGGAACUGCAUUUGUGACUGGCAAGCUAGAGUGUGGCAGAGGGGGGUGGAAUUCCGCGUGUAGCAGUGAAAUGCGUAGAUAUGCGGAGGAACACCGAUGGCGAAGGCGGCCAUCUGGGACAACACUGACGCUGAGGCACGAAAGCGUGGGGAGCAAACAGGAUUAGAUACCCCAGUAGUCCCUGUCUCUUAUAC
rnacentral:rRNA from 1 species